CCUACACGAACGUCGGCGAAGCUCAUUUCCACAACACGCGUGUUACGUCACGGUGCGUUCCAUCUCAUCUUGGAGCACUACUCAAUGUUACUGAUGUAUCAAUUGUUCGUUUUUUCUCGUGACUAACCAACAUGAUAUAUGACACAAUGCCUCGACGUGAGAUUAACUCAAUCGCCAAGGAAAUCAAUCUAAAGGAGGAAAUUAAUCUGAACGAGGUAUUCCACGAGUUCUGCCGCGAUUAAACCAUCACAUAACGCGGUGCUAUCUGGAGAUUGAGUAUCUAACACGCUUUAGAUUCUCCCAUCGUUGCCAAUAAAGAAUAUCAAUGAUGCGCAUAUGAACAAGAACACGAAUAGUUACACCAUGUCCAUGAUUACCACAGAGAUUUACCCGUUAACAUUUUUCAAUAUUCACCGAAACAAGUUCAUCGAUGAAAAUUCGCAAACGUUAUAUACCUUGUACAUAAAAAAAAGAAAAGAUAUAUUUUAUCAGUGUAAUAAUUGCCGUGUGACUAUAUGCA